rnacentral:rRNA from 1 species
GAUGAACGCUGGCGGCGUGCCUAAUACAUGCAAGUCGAACGCUGGAAAUCUAGCUUGCUAGAUUGAAGGAGUGGCGAACGGGUGAGUAAUACAUAAGCAACCUACCCACGAAGACUGGGAUAAUCUCUGGAAACGGGGACUAAUACCGGAUAGGUAAUCGGAAGGCAUCUUCUGAUUAUUAAAGGUUAAAACCACUGGUGGAUGGGCUUAUGGCGCAUUAGUUGGUUGGUGAGGUAACGGCCCACCAAGACGAUGAUGCGUAGCCGGCAUGAGAGGGUGAACGGCCACAUUGGGACUGAGACACGGCCCAGACUCCGACGGGAGGCAGCAGUAGGGAAUUUUCGGCAAUGGGGGAAACCCUGACCGAGCAACGCCGCGUGAGUGAUGACGGCCUUCGGGUUGUAAAGCUCUGUUGUAAGGGAAGAACGGUAGAUAGAGAAUAUCUAAAUGACGGUACCUUAACAGAAAGCCACGGCUAACUACGUG